UGGCGGACGGGUGAGUAAUGCAUGAGAACCUGUCCUUCAGAGGGGGACAACAGUUGGAAACGGCUGCUAAUACCCCAUAUGCCGAGAGGUGAAAGGAGUAAUCCGCUGAAGGAGGGGCUCAUGUCCUAUCAGUUAGUUGGUGAGGUAAGGGCUUACCAAGGCGAUGACGGGUAGCCGGCCUGAGAGGGUGACCGGCCACAUUGGAACUGAGAUACGGUCCAGACUCCUACGGGAGGCAGCAGUGGGGAAUAUUGGGCAAUGGGCGCAAGCCUGACCCAGCGACGCCGCGUGAGGGAAGAAGGCCUUUGGGUCGUAAACCUCUGUUGUAUGGGAAGAAGGAAGCGACGGUACCAUACGAGGAAGUCCCGGCUAACUACGUGCCAGCAGCCGCGGUAAU
rnacentral:rRNA from 1 species